ensembl:lncRNA
CUAACUACCAUAUUGGGACAGGGCCAUUAUCUGUAACAACUGUCUCCUAACUACCAUAUUGGGACAGGGCCAUUCUCUGUAACAACUGUCUCCUAACUACCAUAUUGGGACAGGCACCUGUCUCUGUAACAACUGUCUCCUAACUACCAUAUUGGGACAGGGCCAUUAUCUGUAACAACUGUCUCCUAACUACCAUAUUGGGACAGGCACCUGUCUCUGUAACAACUGUCUCCUAACUACCAUAUUGGGACAGGCACCUGUCUCUGUAACAACUGUCUCCUAACUACCAUAUUGGGACAGGCACCUGUCUCUGAAACAACUGUCUCCUAACUACCAUAUUGGGACAGGGACAUUCUCUGUAACAAAUGUCCCCUAACUACCAUAUUGGGACCGGGCCGUUCUCUGUAACAACUGUCUCCUAACUACCAUAUUGGGACAGGGCCAUUCUCUGUAACAACUGUCUCCUAACUACCAUAUUGGGACAGGCACCUGUCUCUGUAACAACUGUCUCCUAACUACCAUAUUGGGACAGGGCAAUUCUCUGUAACAACUGUCUCCUAACUACCAUAUUGGGACAGGGCCAUUCUCUGUAACAACUGUCUCCUAACUACCAUAUUGGGACAGGCACCUGUCUCUGUAACAACUGUCUCCUAACUACCAUAUUGGGACAGGGCAUUCUCUGUAACAACUGUCUCCUAACUACCAUAUUGGGACAGGGCAAUUCUCUGUAACAACUGUCUCCUAACUACCAUAUUGGGACAGGGCAAUUCUCUGUAACAACUGUCUCCUAACUACCAUAUUGGGACAGGGCAAUUCUCUGUAACAACUGUCUCCUAAACACCAUAUUGGGACAGGGCAUUCUCUGUAACAACUGUCUCCUAACUACCAUAUUGGGACAGGCACCUGUCUCUGUAACAACUGUCUCCUAACUACCAUAUUGGGACAGGGCCAUUCUCUGUAACAACUGUCUCCUAACUACCAUAUUGGGACAGGCAUCUGUCUCUGUAACAACUGUCUCCUAACUACCAUAUUGGGACAGGCACCUGUCUCUGUAACAACUGUCUCCUAACUACCAUAUUGGGACAGGGCCGUUCUCUGUAACAACUGUCUCCUAACUACCAUAUUGGGACAGGGCCUUUCUCUGUAACAACUGUCUCCUAACUACCAUAUUGGGACAGGGCCAUUCUCUGUAACAACUGUCUCCUAAGUACCAUAUUGGGACAGGGAAAUUCUCUGUAGCAACUGUCUCCUAACUAGCAUGUUGGGACAGGCACCUGUCUCUGUAACAACUGUCUCCUAACUACCAUAUUGGGACAGGCAUCUGUCUCUGUAACAACUGUCUCCUAACUACCAUAUUGGGACAGGCACAUGUCUCUGUAACAACUGUCUCCUAACUACCAUAUUGGGACAGGGCCGUUCUCUGUAACAACUGUCUCCUAACUACCAUAUUGGGACAGGCGCCUGUCUCUGUAACAACUGUCUCCUAACUACCAUAUUGGGACAGGCGCCUGUCUCUGUAACAACUGUCUCCUAUGUACUAGGCUAGCAUAUUGCUCCACACAUACUGGUAUUUGUUCUGAAUGGACCCCUGUUCCCUAAAUAGUGCACUACUUUCGACCAGAACCCUAUGGGCUCUGGUCAAAAGUAGUGCACUCUAAAGGGAAUAGGGUGCCAUUUGGGACAAACGCACAACACUCUGCACUCACCUCCCCCACCCUCCCCCUCUCCUACCCCCCUUGGCGUGUGUCGUCAUCCCCCCGGUGGACCAAGCUUGAGGAAGCUACAGAAGGUCUUGAUGUUAUUGUUUCCAGUGUGGUGUGUUCUUCCUGUCCUUGUGUUAAUACAUACACUCAACUGUACACUUCUGUCUUGACACUAGUUCCAUUCAGAUGAAUAAUAAUAAUAAUAAUAAUAAGGCACAUAGCAGAUACUUCUUUCCAACGCGACGGUCAGGGGUUCUGUUGUCUGGGUGUGCCCAGCGGGAAUUGAACCUCUCGUGUCGUGAUGCUCUUAUCAACUGAGCGUCGUGGAACCAGUUCAUGUUCUGUCUUCUUAAUGACCUGCAUUCCUUCUGUCAAAUCCAGCCUCGUAGUUUACUCAUUCUCACGUUAAACACAUCACAACUCAUUCCUUCUGUCAAAUCCAGCCUCGUAGUUUACUCAUUCUCACGUUAAACACAUCACAACUCAUUCCUUCUGUCAAAUCCAGCCUCGUAGUUUACUCAUUCUCACGUUAAACACAUCACAACUCAUUCCUUCUGUCAAAUCCAGCCUCGUAGUUUACUCAUUCUCACGUUAAACACAUCACAACUCAUUUAACAUCUUCUAUUAGAAAGGUGUCAUUACAUGCUCUGACUCCGUUGUCCAGGUUUGAAAAUAACAUUAUAUUGUCAUUAUUACUAUUAUUAUUAUAAUUACAUUGUCUUAACACUCUUCUCCUUUGAAUACAAUUCCAUAUUCUCUUCUACUCUUUAAUGUCGUGUUCCGUCGCCUAAUAUCAUAGGGCAGGUCCCAAAUGGCACCAUAUUCCCUACUUAGUGCACUACUUUUGACCCAGGCCUAUAGAGCUCUCUGGCCAAGAGUAGUGCACAAAGUAGGGCACAGUGUUCCAUUUGGGACGCAACCCGUGGACCGCUGUUUAUCCCCUCAUUCACAGUCUCCUCAAUGUAUUUCUAGGCCAUCCUCCUCUCAGCCGUGGACAGGCACAAUGCUGGUGUAUAUAUAUGUACUAUAUACAUACUGUUGCACUUUCUAGGAAAAUACAUAAGGCCUGUAGUCUUUUUAAACCAUAUGACUGGGAUCACACAAUUCUUAAUUCCCUGGUUUUACACAAAUCCUGGCUGGAAGAUUCCUGGGAAUAUGAGGGGAAUAAGCAGGAACUCCGGGACUCCUUCCACCAGGAUUUCUGGGAAAAGUGAUAAUUUGGGGAAAGUUGGGGACUGCAGCAGCCCUAUAGGAUCCUCAGCACUCCAAAGGGAGGUGUUUAAAGACCCUGUCUAAUACCACCACAUGAAAAGAAAAACAAUAAAACACAAAGUGUCAUAUUUUGCAACUUGAGUAUCAGUACAAUAAAGUUUUACUUGUUAAAAUGACCAACACAA